UGUUUGCCCCUUCCGUGAUUUAUGCGUAGCAUGUAGACUAUCAGCGACAAUUUGAGCCUCUUUGUGAAGUAGUUUUGUAGGGUAUUGCUUCAAGUCAAGAAAAUAGCUUCCAAAGAUAGUUUAACCGAAGAGCUUCUGAUCUCUACAUGUGAAUGGUAAACUGCCAAUUUUGUACUUUACUAUUCUAUAUCAAGAAAAUAAAUAAUUGCAUCAUGGUAUUAGUGGCUUAAUUAUUUUUAUGUGCAUUGAACUAUAUAUUUUGAAGCACUUAAUAGUAUCUUUCAUGGAGGAUCUAGGACUCCUGCCAAUUUAUUGUACGGAGUUGUUCUUUGCUAAAAAAAACUUUGCUCAAUUGCGCUUUGCCUCUCAGUGUUAUCAUUAGUUAAUGGCCUAAACUGUUGACAACUUAUCAAAAAAGAAUAAUCAUAUGCAGAUGCAGAAGCAUAUUAGUCAUGCAGAAAUAAUCAUAUGCUGAAGGAAGGACUUGGAACUGUAACUAAAAACAAAAUGGUAAGUGGAGGGGCUCUGAUAUUGCAAUAAAAAGAAAUGAUAGAUAUUUCACUGGGAAGCGAACUCAGGAAGACCGCUCUAUUCCCCUCUCCUCCCGAUGCGGCGCUGCCCCCAUCUCUUGCUCCUCCGCCGCCGCCGCCCCUGCCUCCCUCCCGCUCAGCCACCUCCACCGCUCCCACCCUUCUCCCCAUUGUCGGAUCCGCUUGCAUAUCGCCAAGGUUAGGCGGCGAAGCUCCACGUCCGCGACGCGCACAUGCUCGUCAUGGAAGCGGCUCCCAGAUCUGAGGUCGCGCGGCCGUGACGGAAGGGGCUCGAGCUGGCCGCCGAAGACCAAGCCCCCACCAUGUGGCGUCGAGAACGGCCGACGGCAUGGUAGGAUGGAGGAGAACGGCCUGGAGUUCGUGCUCGAUCUGGUGGUCAGGUUCCCACUUCGGCAAGAGUUCGCCGAUAACCUUAAGCACUCCGAUCCGGUGCCGCUAAGGCUGCCACCCAGGGGGAGGCUGGCGCUCUUGGCACGGAGGAUUCAAUUGGUGAAUCUGGCUGCGCCCUGAGGUUAAUCGGGAGGCACCGGGAUGGACGGAAAGGUUAAGAUUAGAGAAUGCACCACCGGACAGAACUCUGUGCGCUUCAUGGAUGAGCACACUGGAGCAAUCAAUAAGGAAGUUUGCCGAGGAACCGACGAAUAGUGUGAUUAAACCAGAACUAGGAACAAGUUUCGAUUUGUUGGGCGAGGCAUACGACUUCUACAACCUGUAUUCAUGGGAAGUUGGAUUCGGUAUUAGAUAUUGGGAAAGCCGACUAAAUGCAGAAGAUAGAGUGCAGUUGUUCACUAAGUUCUGUGGGAAAGACUAAGGCUGAGAAUAGCCGAUCAUGCAUGUACGAGUGUCCCGCGCUGAUCAGGUUGCUACAUGCAGCUAAUAAAUAGUUGGUUCAUAACUGAGCACAUAAAGAAUCACAACCAUUUGAUGUUCGUUACACUCGGGGAGAAGGUUCAUUGGCACAUAGACUUCUGUGUUAACAGGGCGACAACGUCAAGGAUGGCAUCUGCGAGAACUCUUUUGUGUUAGAUAAAUUGAUGAUUAUGUCUGGAUCUCCGGGGGCAGACACUAUCAUACUGAAGCUCAGCCGGACCACGACUGUCAACGGGGUCACCGUAUUCUUUGAGGAACAGAAACAAUCCAGCUAUCAUAAGGAUGAGGACGGAGCACAACUCUCUCAAUUCCCAAAAUGAGGUGGACAACACUUAGCUUACAUGUUCUUUGAGGACGGAGGAAGUUUCGCCUUAAACACAACUUUUAUCUGCUCUGAAAGAGUUACAUAUUUUGAAGUUUUUGCAACUCAGCCUGAAAGAGUUGGGUAACCAAACUCAAAAUGAGGAUCCAAAUGAGCUUGGUUACGUACUAAAUUAUUGUUGAGGAUCUUAGGUAAUCAUUGCAGUUGAAGAUUACGCCCCUUAUCAUCAUUCUCAUUUUCAAACUUGCCAUUUAUCAGAGGUUUUGGAUGGGGUGCAUUCAUGCAUUGUAUUGGAGCAAGGACCUGCCGAGGAGGGGGAUACCAUGGGGAGGCGAACCUGGUAAAAUAGGGGUGGAAAGUAUGCUAUAGGAAAGACUGUGGGGUUUGUGUAUCCUUAUCCAGGACAUUGUGAAGGCUUCUGAUGCAGUUUACAAGAAGCAAUUGGUGAGCUAAUUCAGAGGUUAGGCAACACUUGUCAUGAUUUUUUAUUUCUGAAGCCACAUUAGCAAGCAUCAUCAAUAUAACUAAAUGUUUGCUGGCUUCCGUAAUUGCCUACAUCAAUGUAAUCUUCCACACUGAAAACACUCAUUUGAGAUUUGCAAGAAGCCUGCAUACUACUUACUGUUGAUGCAUUAACAUUGCAUCCUUCAGAAUUAGCAAGCAGGGCAUAAUGUUAGGUGUCUGUUUGUGGAAUUGCUGAAAAUAAUUGGUCUAUUUAAUCCAUGAGAAAUAGGAAGAUUCUCUAAGCUACAUGAGUUACUCUUUAGCGACAUUUCGUAUCGGCAGUGUGCUACUUGCUAUACUAGCUAAGCUUAAUUUUCUUCUUCUUGUGAACAUGUAGAUAAGUGAAAUGAUAAUAAGAAGGUUAAAUAAUGUUGUUCAAUCUUUCCGUCAAGCAACCUGUUUGGCCCCAAAUGCCUAGACCAUGAUACUACAUGAUACUAAUCAGUAUCAUCCUGAAACCUGAAUCUCACAGAUUCCUUCAUUGAUAGACAAUUAGGGUUAAUUCCACACUGAUUGACGUCCCAGCAUAGGCGAUAGUCCCCCCGUGUCGCCUCCCCGAGCGAGGCGACCGGGGGUUCCUUUCCCCGCCCCCCAGCGUCUUCCCUACCCUAACCCUACUUCCACCGCCGCCGACCUGCGCCACCAGCCCGUGUGGUGUCGGCGGUGGCGGCGGCCUCGUCCUUCCCCGCGCGCGGUGCCCUGGCUCGGGUGGGGGUGUCCCGCGGUGGUGCUCCAGCUCCGGCGGCACGGCUCCGGGUGGCCCGGGGGCGGCGGCGCGGGCACUUGGCGACAACCUGGCGCGGUGGAUGGUGGCGGCGCCCUCCCGGACCAGAUCUAGGCCCUUUUGGGCCCCAUUUGGGUCUGGGCCGCCCUGGCUUGAUCUCGCCUGCGGCGGCUCCGGCGGGGGUCGAGGAGGUGCGGCUUCUGCGGGGGGUUUUGGAGACGGCGGCGUGCCUACAGCAGCGCGGAGACGGGCAUUUCAUGAGCCGCUUUUGGGCUCGGCCGGGCCUCGAGGGCCCGGUGUGCUCCUCUCGCCGCGUCCAGUCAGUGACUGCCGAUGGCGGUGGAGGUUGUCUCCUCUUGCAUGGCUGCUGUCGCUGCCGCUCCCCAUUCCCGGCUGCUCCCCCUCGGCCUCGUCGGUCUCGCUUCGUUGACCAUGGUGAGGCGGCGGUGAUGUUGGCAAGACCGUGGUGGCGCAUGUUGGUGGACGGCAUCAGUGGUGGAGCGCAUCGGACCAUUCAGGGAUGUGGGUGUUUGGUGGACGGGAGAAAUCCCUGCCGGCUUGUCGGCACCGACGCGGUGAUGCCCGUGGGCGCCACCGUUCCUUCCUAAAGGGCAUCGGGUAUUCCCCUUCCCCACUCCCGUCCGCGUAUCGGGGAAAACCCUAGGACUUGUCCGGGCAGUAGCGUCAUUGUUGUCGUGUUCCUUCUUGAAGGUGUUGCUUGGUAAGCGGAGGUUCAAGGUGCUAGGAGCGAGGUGGUAAAUCCCUGGUGGGCAUAGCGGUUGCGGGUCAUCAUCAUUUUCGUCGAUCCGAUGCUGUCGACAUUAUUUUCUCUCUUCUUUCUCUUUUGUUUCUUUUGGGCGUGCUUGUGCUGUUUGCCCCAGCAUUGGACUCUUGGUUGUAUCGGGUUGUUGCUAUAUCUAUAUAGCGGGGCGAAAGCCUAUUUCGUAAGAUUCUUUCAUGAAUUCAAGACUUGGCAAACCACUCCCAUUACAAGGUUCCAUAACACAUGCUGGAUUUGUAUGUCAAGAUAUCUGAAGGGCAAAAGCUUAGUACAUUUAUUCUGUUUUUUUAAUAAAUCUCCCUCUUGGAAUGAGCUACAACUACUAACGAGUUAUUCUUCUCAUAUCUGUAAGAACACAUUUCUAUAUAUGGCUUCUAUUAAGGCGACUUGAUUGAGUACCGGCGAAUUACCUUCAAAAUGAUUAAAGGAAUGCGGAGAUGGGCCUUCUUGAGUUUUGACCAUGCCUAAUAAUACUUCUGAAUUAUGGCUACUCUCCAUGCAGUUUGGUCCGGUUAUUUCACCAACUACUAUGUGCUGGAAGUUAUAUUGUUACUUAAUAGAGGCUACCCAUUCUAAACUUCUUUUUGACUGUGUUGUCAGAUUAGUACAUCCAAUGGAACCUGACAUUAAUAAUAAAUUCCCUACAAUGACAGUGUGCUUUAUAUGAAAAGGGUUGAAUAUAAUUACCAAAGUUUGAUGGACGUCACGUGGCAUGCCAGUCAUGCAUAUGGAGAGCACAAAUGCAAAUGUUCGUAUUGUAUUGACGAUGCUCCCUUUUGAAAUUAACAUGCUUUGCCAAUUAUUUUGGACAUUAUGUAUUAGCUUAUUAUUUGUCAGCCUAUAGGUUUUAUAUGAGUGAAAACUAAAUAUCACAGUUCUAAGACUGUUCUUGCCAACCCCUCCAUAUCAACUAGGUAUGCAAUGCAUUAUACUCCCUCCGUUCCUAAAUAUUUGUCUUUUUAGAGAUUUCAACAAGUGAGUACAUACGGAGCAAAAUAAGUGAAACUACACUCUAAAAUAUAUGUAUAUACAUCCGUAUGUGGUAGUCCAUUUGAAAUCUCUAAAAAGACAAAUAUUUAGGAACGGAGGGAGUAUAAGAUAUUUUUUUUGUUUUUCCUUGUCUGCAUUUUUAAUUAUGGUUAUUACUCUUUGGAAUAAUCAACAGUUUAAUCUGUACUAUUAAAGGAGAGCAUGUAGGUCGUUUUGUUUCGGGGAGGGUGAGGCGCAGCCUCGUGAAUGAGUGGAGAAGACAGUGUGCUCUGGUCCUCCUCCAAGCCCGCCGGCGACUUGUCGAUUUAUUGCUCUUCCCUUACAAGAUCCCAUCGAAGGUCUCUUCCGCUGCCUGGCCUCAAGAGCAGAUUGUUCCACAGGACUGGCAACUGAGGGACAUUAUUUUGGUGACAAAUCAUUAGAUAUGAUGAUCUGAAAGCAUGGUCAUUCUCCUUUUUGAAGAAAAGAAAUGGUACUCUGAAUGCCGAGCAACAUUAGAGCAACGGACUUCAAACCAUUGAAACCAAAGACGACAUGGAAAUAAAUACCAAGACUAAUCCGUGAGCACAGGCGGGCCAACCACAAUUGAAGGUUAUUAAGCUUUUAUUCCACGGAAAAGCUCGGGAAGGUAGGAAGCUCCUACAGUUCACACAGUAGGGCAAUAGCACUGUAUCCUGUUAAAGGAGGAGAACAGGGCGAAAAAACACAUGGAGAGUGCAUAUGCGUUUUGCUUGUGUCAGAUAAUGUACCACUAGGUUAUGGCAUUAUUGCCAUCAAUUAACUUUGCUGAACUUUCACCUGUAACUUUUUCAGUUAUUUUUUAUGUGAGUGAAUUUAUCUCCCAGAACGGUUGUGAGCAUGAACACUUGUGGGUUAUAUGAUGUAUGUGUUGUUAUUA